UUGAUCCUGGCUCAGAAUCAACGCUGGCGGCGUGCCUAACACAUGCAAGUCGAACGCGAAAGCACCUUCGGGUGCAAGUAGAGUGGCGUCCGGGUGAGUUACACGUGGGUAAUCUACCUCUGGGUGGGGAAUAACGUCUCGAAAGAGACUCUAAUACCGCAUAAUGCAGCGGCAGCUAAUGCUGAAUAGUUGUUAAAGCUGGGGAUCCUUCGGGACCUCGCGCCUGGAGAGGAGCCUGCGGCAGAUUAGUUAGUUGGUGAGGUAACGGCUCACCAAGGCGACGAUCUGUAGCUGGUCUGUGAGGACGGCCAGCCACACUGGCACUGACACACGGGCCAGACUCCUACGGUAGGCAGCAGUGGGGAAUUUUGGGCAAUGGGGGAAACCCUGACCCAGCAAUGCCGCGUGAGGGAGGAAAUCCUUCGGGAUGUAAACCUCACAAGUAAGGGUAGAGCGCACGCCAUAUAAUACAUGGCGUGUUCGACGGUACCUUACGUAAUCCACGGCUAACUACGUGCCAGCAGCCGCGGUAAUAAGGU
rnacentral:rRNA from 1 species